AAAUAUUUUCACAAGGGCCUUGGAAUGUUGAUAACAAUAUUAAUGAGAAUGCCUAGCUUGACCAAGAGAAGAGGCAUCAGCAAUUAGGGAGUCAGCAUGUUAAUUACUCGCAGCCCGUAUGGGGAGAAUGGAAUUCCUACCACAGCAAAACUCUAGUUAUUGACCUUGGAUGAAUUCCUAGUUGAGAAUAUUAAGAGGAGUAUUAU